UAGACAAAGAGAAUGAUUAUGUUAUCUUAAACAGAAAAGUUACUACUGCUACAAAUUUGUCAAAUGUUAGUUCCUGACUGUAGCUUCAUCGUAUUUGAGGGCAGAGCCAUCCAUCGGAAUCACAAGAUAUGCCAGUUCUGUUAGUGCUGGUAUGGACAUCACUAACAAUGCAGUAUCAUCAUCUCUGGGAUAAACAGCAUCCUGUUUCAAUGGAGAAACUACCGAUGUCGGCCAAGUACGUCGUCAACCCCUUUUUAAAAAAUGUCCUUGUGAAUGUGGGUGUAUUCACGUGGAUUUCCUAUCCUGCCUCUUGACUGCGGAUGGAACACUUGUACACACUGAGAUGCCUGGCCGUUUUUCCCAGGCUUAAAGGUAAGACAAAUUUAUGACUGAUUUCUCUUGCCCUUUUUUGUUUACACUCGGUAAGGGUCAAGUUCGCUCCCCCGCUCGUUAAGGCUAGAAACAUGCAAACGAAAUUACAUUUGACCUUUUGACGC